rnacentral:snRNA from 1 species
CCAGCUUCCUUUGCCAUUCUGGCUUAGAUCAAGUGUAGUAUCUGUUCUUUAUAGUUUAAUCGCUAUAAUGCCACUACGGUGGCUUUCCGAUUAUUCGUAUUUUUGUAAUAAGACCUUGGGUCCUGAGCUUGCUCACACCCAAGGCCAUAGUGUCGCCAGUAUCCAUGCACUACUUCUGGCCGACGCGAACUUUU